rnacentral:lncRNA from 1 species
UAGAACAGCAUGGCAGAAGCUGAGUUCUCCUGCGAGAUGGAAAUGAAAGCAUGGAGAAGGGAAGCCAAGUCCAGGCCAGUGUGAGAAAGGACACACGUGUGACCAAGUGGGGCAUGUUCA